rnacentral:rRNA from 1 species
UACAGAGGUCCCAAGCGUUGUUCGGAUUUACUGGGCGUAAAGAGUGUGUAGGCGGUGCUCUAAGUUCGGUGUGAAAUCUCCUGGCUUAACUGGGAGGGUGCGCCGGAAACUGGGGUGCUCGAGCGUGGGAGAGGAAAGCGGAAUUCCUGGUGUAGCGGUGAAAUGCGCAGAUAUCAGGAAGAACACCCGUGGCGAAGGCGGCUCUCUGGAACGCAACUGACGCUGAGACGCGAAAGCGUGGGGAGCAAACAGG